GCAAGUCGCGCGCGAAUGAGGGCUUCGGCUCUCUAGUAGAGCGGCGAAAGGGUGAGUAAUGCUUGGGCAACCUGCCCUUGGCACGGGGAUAGCCACUGGAAACGGUGGGUAAUACCGGAUGGUCUCCGAGUGGCUGCGGUCACACGGAGUAAAGGUGGGGAUCUUCGGACCUACCGGCCAGGGAGGGGCUCGAGUCCUAUCAGCUUGUUGGUGCGGUAACGGCGCACCAAGGCAACGACGGGUAGCCGGACUGAGAGGUUGGCC
rnacentral:rRNA from 1 species